rnacentral:rRNA from 1 species
CACCGCGGUUAUACGAGAGGCCCUAGUUGAUAAAUGCGGCGUAAAGGGUGGUUAGGGAUGAGCAAAAAUAAAGCCGAAGGGCCCCUUGGCCGUCAUACGCUUCUGAGCGUCCGAAGCCCAAACACGAAAGUAGCUUUAAUUAUAGCCCACCUGACCCCACGAAAACUGAGAAA